rfam:Brachypodium distachyon strain Bd21 chromosome 3, whole genome shotgun sequence.
AUGUUACUUUUUCCGUCCAACAAAAGAUGUAUCAAGUUUGUUAAAUUUUGAAUGUAUCUACACAUGACUUAGUGUAUAGAUGCAUUCAAAUUUAGUCAAAAUUGAGACAUGCUUUGUUGGACGGAGGGAGUACGUG